UAUGCAUUGACAGUUUAACAAUCUUUAUAUACUGUGUGUAUACAAAUUAAAUCUGUAGAAAUAUACCAAAAUGACAAAAAUCAACCUAAAAAGAUACGCAUAUAACUUUCCUGUGGAUAUUGUGGGCUCAGAUAAAGUAUUUGAAAGAAAGACCCUUUACUAGGAAACUUAGUGCUAAAGCUAAUUCUAUAUGUAUAUUAUUAGGAAAAAAAUUGUUUAAUUUGGUGUCAAGGAAACUUUAGAGUAAUAGUAAAGUUGUCUUUGUAUAAUUUAUAUAUCACGAGUUUGAGCCGUAAAAGCAUCCACUAAUGCUUGUAUUAGGGUAGGCUGUCUACAUCUCACCUCUUGAAUAUAGCCCUUAUCACGGAUUUGACCGAUUCCGUCGGAAAUUUCCGACUACUUUUUUCCGUCGGAAUAUUUCGGUCGGGAAUAAGCCGUUUUUUAGUAGUGUGAACCCUACGUGAACAGGAAAUACUUUGUAUCGGCCUUUAUUUUUUUUUGUGUCAAUGGCAAAGGGCCUAUGGCCAUAUAGGAGUAGAAAUUUAAUUUUCUUCACAUGGGUGUAUUAUUUUAUUUUUGUUUUAGCAAAAGGGGAAAUAAUAAGAAGAUGAAAAGAGUAGAAAAAGAUAAAAUGAAGCUAUAAAUAAGACAUACAAAAAGAUAGCUUUCUGUUUCUCAGUCUCACUUUUUCUUUCUUUUGCAUGCAUGGCCUCCACUGAUGAAAAAAUAUUCUUUUGAAAAUUGGCAAUAUUUGUGUUAUAUAACAGGGAAAGUUGGCAGUUGCAUGGCAAUAAAAAAGGAGAUUAUCCAGGAAACAUAUCUUAUCUAGAGCAGAAAGACAAUAUGGAAGCAAAAUGCUUAAGCUAUGAGGGAAUAUCAACAGAAGUGAGCUCAUCAACUAUAACAGAAGCAAGUCCAAAGAAGCCUAAUUUGGAGUUUACUUUGGGAAUAAUGCCUAAUAUUUCAUAGUACUACUCAUUUUGAAAUCAUUAUAUACUUUUUGACUACGAGAAAUAGUAAAAACACAAAAAAAAAGGAAGAAGAGAGAAUCAGGUUCCCACUGAGAUAAAAAUAAUAAUAAUAUAGGAAAGAAAAAGAAAAGGAAAAAGUGAGCUAAAGAAAGACAAAGAGACAAAGAAAAGGAGAAGGGAAUAGGAAAAGUGCAUGUAAUUAUUCCCAUUUUAAUAUUCUUUGUGACCUAUAAAUCAAACAAUAUAUUAAAUUGUUCCUUUCUUUCCCUACAAAUGAGGAAAAACAAAGAAAGUAAAUUUGAAUCUAAUUGAUUUUAAUAUUGUUAUAGUAGUAAGAGAUUAUAGUUACUAUAUAGAGAGUUGAGAGAGGAAGAAGUAAAUCUCUUUCCCUUGUUACAAUUGUAUGAUCAUUUACAUUUACCAAGAAAUAUAAUAUCUCCGACUCA